rnacentral:tRNA from 1 species
GCCGUCAUAGCUCAGUUGGUAGAGCGCAUCCAUGGUAAGGAUGAGGUCCCCAGUUCAAUCCUGGGUGACGGCUCCA